rnacentral:rRNA from 1 species
UACGAGGGGGGCUAGCGUUGCUCGGAAUCACUGGGCGUAAAGCGCACGUAGGCGGAUUGCUAAGUCAGGGGUGAAAUCCUGGAGCUCAACUCCAGAACUGCCUUUGAUACUGGCGACCUUGAGUCCGGGAGAGGUGAGUGGAACUGCGAGUGUAGAGGUGAAAUUCGUAGAUAUUCGCAAGAACACCAGUGGCGAAGGCGGCUCACUGGCCCGAUACUGACGCUGAGGCACGAAAGCGUGGGGAGCAAACAGG